rnacentral:rRNA from 1 species
GACGAACGCUGGCGGCGUGCUUAACACAUGCAAGUCGAACGGGGUGUUUAUUUCGGUAAACACCAAGUGGCGAACGGGUGAGUAACGCGUAAGCAAUCUACCUUCAAGAUGGGGACAACACUUCGAAAGGGGUGCUAAUACCGAAUGAAUGUAAGAGUAUCGCAUGAGACACUUACUAAAGGAGGCCUCUGAAAAUGCUUCCGCUUGAAGAUGAGCUUGCGUCUGAUUAGCUAGUUGGUGAGGGUAAAGGCCCACCAAGGCGACGAUCAGUAGCCGGUCUGAGAGGAUGAACGGCACAUUGGGACUGAGACUAGGCCCAGACUCCUAC